GGCAUAUCACACCACAGCAUCUGGAAUGAAACAGUUUGCUCGCUGACAUCAUAACGACCACUGAUGUAAUGGCUGUAAUGGAAAUAGUCAAUUAACACUGGGGCCCUAGGACAUGUAUGACUUUUCCAUUAGUUAUCGAUCAUCAAAAAAUAUUCGAAAGAAGAUUUAUUCAAUUUUAAAGAUGACAAAAUAUUUGGCUUUAUUUCUACUUGGAGGUAUGUGGUGUUCAACGUUUUGGUUGAAGUAUCACAUCUUGAAACAUCCAAGUAAACAUACAAAGCAUCCAAAUAAAAUAACAACAACAACAUCAACAACACCACCAACAACAGAACCUCCCACAACAGAACCUCCCACAACAGAACCUCCCACUACAGAACCUCCAACAACAGAACCUCCAACAACUACAACCUCAACACACCCCC